rnacentral:rRNA from 1 species
UAGGGAAUCUUCCGCAAUGGGCGAAAGCCUGACGGAGCAACGCCGCGUGAGUGAUGAAGGUCUUCGGAUCGUAAAACUCUGUUAUUAGGGAAGAACAAAUGUGUAAGUAACUAUGCACGUCUUGACGGUACCUAAUCAGAAAGCCACGGCUAACUACGUGCCAGCAGCCGCGGUAAUACGUAGGUGGCAAGCGUUAUCCGGAAUUAUUGGGCGUAAAGCGCGCGUAGGCGGUUUUUUAAGUCUGAUGUGAAAGCCCACGGCUCAACCGUGGAGGGUCAUUGGAAACUGGAAAACUUGAGUGCAGAAGAGGAAAGUGGAAUUCCAUGUGUAGCGGUGAAAUGCGCAGAGAUAUGGAGGAACACCAGUGGCGACGGCGACUUUCUGGUCUGUAACUAACGCUGAUGUGCGAAAGCGUGGGGAUCAAACAGG